UACGUAGGGGGCGAGCGUUUGUCCGGAAUCAUUGGGCGUAAAGCGCGUGUAGGCGGCCCGGUAAGUCCGCUGUGAAAGUCCAGGGCUCAACCCUCGAAUGCCGGUGGAUACUGUCGGGCUAGAGUGCGGGAGAGGCGAGUGGAAUUCCUGGUGUAGCGGUGAAAUGCGCAGAUAUCAGGAGGAACACCGGUGGCGAAGGCGGCUUGCUGGGCCUUACCUGACGCUGGAGGAGCGAAAGCGUGGGGAGCGAACAGG
rnacentral:rRNA from 1 species